GGAGGAAAGUAGGGGAUCGCAAGACCUUGCGCUUUUGGAGCGGCCGAUGCCUGAUUAGCUUGUUGGUGAGGUAAAAGCUCACCAAGGCUCCGAUCAGUAGCUGGUCUGAGAGGACGACCAGCCACACUGGGACUGAGACACGGCCCAGACUCCUACGGGAGGCAGCAGUGGGGAAUUUUGGACAAUGGGGGCAACCCUGAUCCAGCCAUGCCGCGUGAGUGAAGAAGGCCUUCGGGUUGUAAAGCUCUUUCAGCCGGAACGAAACGGUCACGGUUAAUACCCGUGACUACUGACGGUACCGGAAGAAGAAGCACCGGCUAACUACGUGCCAGCAGCCGCGGUAAUACGUAGGGUGCGAGCGUUAAUCGGAAUUACUGGGCGUAAAGCGUGCGCAGGCGGUUUUGUAAGUCAGAUGUGAAAUCCCCGGGCUUAACCUGGGAACUGCGUUUGAAACUACAAAGCUAG
rnacentral:rRNA from 1 species